GGCGGGGUCGGGGCUACCGCGGCCCGAGCCCCCAGGCUCUGGGUGUUGGGAGGGAGGGAGAGAGCGUCGGAGUCAAGCCGGGCCUUCCAGCCUGAGACCGGAUCAUCCUAGCUGAGCUCCAGCAGUGGGGAGGCAGAUGGUGAAGUCCUUGGACCACAGCUUGAGCCACGAGGGCCAUGGAACUGGGAUUCCUAGUUGAAUGUUGCCGCCAAGCCUAGCACAGAAGCCAGAGUGGCCAGGAUGCAAAUCCAGGGGAGCUCUGGAGUUGGAACUUGGUACACCAUGCUGUAUAGGAACUGAGUUCACAACUUAAUACUCCUUCCCUCUGCAGACACUGAGAUAAUGUAAAGUGGGUUUAUGCCACUCUCUAAGUGUGUAUGUGAGGGUGUUCUUACUAUAUACCUUUGAAGUAAAAAUUCCCAUGUAAAAUC